GAUGAACGCUGGCGGCGUGCCUAAUACAUGCAAGUCGAACGAAGAUCUAGCUUGCUAGAUCUUAGUGGCGAACGGGUGAGUAAUACAUAAAUAAUCUGCCCAUAUGACUGGGAUAACUAUUGGAAACGAUAGCUAAUACCGGAUAGGUUGAUUGGAGGCAUCUCUGAUUAAUUAAAGUAGGAUUUCUACACAAAUGGAUGAGUUUAUGGCGCAUUAGUUAGUUGGUGGGGUAACGGCCUACCAAGAUGAUGAUGCGUAGCCGACCUGAGAGGGUGACAGGCCAACCUGGGACUGAGACACGGCCCAGACUCCUACGGGAGGCAGCAGUAGGGAAUUUUCGGCAAUGGGCGCAAGCCUGACCGAGCAACGUCGCGUGAGUGAUUAAGGCCUUCGGGUUGUAAAGCUCUGUUGUAAGGGAAGAACAUUCAGGAUAGGAAAUGAUCUUGAACUGACGGUACCUUACCAGAAAGCCACGGCUAUCUACGUGCCAGCCGCCGCAGUAA
rnacentral:rRNA from 1 species